AGGGCACUACCAGGAGUGGAGCCUGCGGCUUAAUUUGACUCAACACGGGAAACCUCACCCGGGCCGGACACCGUAAGGAUUGGCAAAUUGAUAGCUUUUUCAUGAUUCGGUGGAUGGUGGUGCAUGGCCGUUCUUAGUUCGUGGAGCGAUUUGUCUGGUUUAUUCCGAUAACGAGCGAGACUCUAGCCUACUAAAUAGUUGACACAUUCCAUUGUGUGUCCCAACUUCUUAGAGGGAUGUGACGGCGACUAGCCGCAAGAGAAUGAGCAAUAACAGGUCUGUGAUGCCCUUAGAUGUCCGGGGCUGCACGCGCGCUACACUGGUGAAAUCAACGUGUUCCAUCCUAUGCCGAGAGGCACUGGUAAACCAUUGAAAAUUCACCGUGAUUGGGAUCGGAGAUUGAAAUUAUUCUCCGUGAACGAGGAAUUCCAAGUAAGUGCGAGUCAUUAGCUCGCGUUGAUUACGUCCCUGCCCUUUGUACACACCGCCCGUCGCUGCCUAGAACUGAGCCAUUUCGAG
rnacentral:rRNA from 1 species